ACAGGUGGGCGAGAUGAGUAUUCUAAGGCGCUUGAGAGAACUCGGGAGAGGGAACUCGGCAAAUUGGUACCGUAACUUCGGGAAAAGGUACGCCCUUGUAGCUUGGCUGAUUUACUUCAGUAGGGCGAACGGGUUGCAAUAAACUGGUGGCUGCGACUGUUUAAUAAAAACACAGCACUCUGCAAACACGAAAGUGGACGUAUAGGGUGUGACGCCUGCCCGGUGCUGGAAGAUUAAAUGAUGGGGUGCAAGCUCUUGAUUGAAGUCCCAGUAAACGGCGGCCGUAACAAUAACGGUCCUAAGGUAGCGAAAUUCCUUGUCGGGUAAGUUCCGACCUGCACGAAUGGCGUAACGAUGGCCACACUGUCUCCUCCCGAGACUCAGCGAAGUUGAAGUGUUUGUGAUGAUGCAAUCUACCCGCGGCUAGACGGAAAGACCCCAUGAACCUUUACUGUAGCUUUGCAUUGGACUUUGAAUCAAUCUGUGUAGGAUAGGUGGGAGGCUUUGAAGCGGGGACGCCAGUUCUCGUGGAGCCAACCUUGAAAUACCACCCUGGUUCAUUUGAGGUUCUAACCUUGGCCCGUUAUCCGGGUCGGGGACAGUGCAUGGUAGGCAGUUUGACUGGGGCGGUCUCCUCCUAAAGUGUAACGGAGGAGUUCGAAGGUACGCUAGGUACGGUCGGACAUCGUGCUAAUAGUGCAAUGGCAUAAGCGUGCUUAACUGCGAGACUGACAAGUCGAGCAGGUACGAAAGUAGGACAUAGUGAUCCGGUGGUUCUGUAUGGAAGGGCCAUCGCUCAACGGAUGAAAGGUACUCUGGGGAUAACAGGCUGAUUCCUCCCAAGAGUUCAUAUCGACGGGGGAGUUUGGCACCUCGAUGUCGGCUCAUCACAUCCUGGGGCUGUAGCCGGUCCCAAGGGUAUGGCUGUUCGCCAUUUAAAGUGGUACGUGAGCUGGGUUAAAACGUCGUGAGACAGUUUGGUCCCUAUCUGCCGUGGGCGUUGGAAAUUUGAAGGGGGCUGCUCCUAGUACGAGAGGACCGGAGUGGACAGACCUCUGGUGUACCGGUUGUCACGCCAGUGGCAUUGCCGGGUAGCUAAGUUUGGAAGAGAUAACCGCUGAAAGCAUCUAAGCGGGAAACUUGCCUUAAGAUGAGAUUUCCCAGAGCCUUGAGCUCUUUGAAGGGUCGUUCGAGACCAGGACGUUGAUAGGUCAGGUGUGGAAGU
rnacentral:rRNA from 1 species